GGUUGACCUCGGAUCAGGUAGGACUACCCGCUGAACUUAAGCAUA
rnacentral:rRNA from 2 species